rnacentral:tRNA from 1 species
GGCCAUGUAGCUCAACUGAAUAGAGCAGCUGACUACGGAUCAGCAGGUUAUAGGUUUGAAUCCUACCAUGGUCA